rnacentral:rRNA from 1 species
AGGACGAACGCUGGCGGCGUGCCUAACACAUGCAAGUCGAACGAGGUCCAUCCGGUAGCAAUACCGGAGAAGAUCAAGUGGCGAACGGGUGAGUAGCACGUGAGCAACCUGCCCCGAAGACCGGGACAACACCGGGAAACCGGUGCUAAUACCGGAUAUCCCCACCGAGUCGCAUGGCUUGGUGAGGAAAUGGAUUCCGCUUCGGGAGGGGCUCGCGGCCUAUCAGCUAGUUGGUGAGGUAACGGCUCACCAAGGCUUCGACGGGUAGCUGGUCUGAGAGGACGAUCAGCCACACUGGGACUGAGACACGGCCCAGACUCCUACGGGAGGCAGCAGUGGGGAAUCUUGCACAAUGGGCGAAAGCCUGAUGCAGCAACGCCGCGUGAGGGCGAAGGCUUUCUGAGUUGUAAACCUCUUUCAGCAGGGACGAUUGUGACGGUACCUGCAGAAGAAGCCCCGGCAACUACGUGCCAGCAGCCGCGGUAA